UUCGUCUCCUCACUUUCUUCUCUUUCUUUCUUUGAACGCACAAAUGCUUGAAGUUAAGUCUUGAUGUAUCGAUCCUUCUACUAUGCUCUUCCUUCAAUCGGAUCUAUGGUGGGUCAGUCCACCUUCUGUCCUCCGCUGCCUGCCUCGCCGUAUUUUUCAGUGCCUCCUCUACCCAGUUGAAACCCUUUGCUAGUUGUUGGGCUUCCUAAAUGAGUGCACUUAUUUCAGAAUAAUCGGGUUUGGAUGUGGUUAGCUUCUUCAUUACCGAUCUUGAAUCCCCUUCCAGAAUCACUCGUCUGAAGCCUGAUUCGAGUGCUAGUUGGAGCGCAAACCCUACUGCGGUGGCCUCUGCUGCAAAUGUUAAUCGUACUCUCAAGCCUCCAUCUCACAACACUUGCUCGCACAGGUUCAUGGAUUAGAUUGUUGGCUAUGAUAAAUUGCCGGCAAUGACAUUGAAUGAAUAUGAUGGUUUCUUUUGCUUGAAAGGUCUUCCUUUCAUUCACUCUUUUGUUUCGUGCAUACCAUAAGGCCCAUAUGGUUACUAAUGCUUCACUGUAUUUGUAGAUGGGACAUUGGCAAACAACCAACUAAGCCAUUUUUUAAAAUUCCAGUUCAAACUCUGCAUUGGCCACUCGUAAGCUAACUUUUGCCAGACUGACAAUGCUAGCGUGCAGUCCUUGAUAAUCUGUAGUCCUUUUUCAACUUGAUUCAGGCACAAAUUGUAAUAUGGUUCGUUUGUAACAUGUUUGUGAAAUAGCAUCUGUUUUGUUAGGGCAUAGUCAUUGCAUAACUUCCAUACCUGAUUUUUUAUCUU